UUCAUUCGCAUUAGCUGCUUUCUGCCCAGCUUAUGCAGAAAGCCUCCAUUUCCAGGUGUACGUUUUUUUCAUUACAAGGAGAAUUGAAAAAGAGAUGGGGAAUACUUUUUUCCCAGUAAUGGGUUCAUGCAUUUGAAGAGGAGCUUUGUCACCGGGGAAUUAGCACUCCAUGCAUGCACCCUCUUGGCUCUCCCAGACGGCAUUUACAUCAUCCGAAGCAGCGAGAGAGAGAGAGAGAGAGCUGGGCUAUCUCAGGAGGGAUGACGGUGCCUGAAGGAAAUCACCUCAAAUUAAUCUAUCAACCUGCAUGCUACACCGUGUCUCCCACACAUGUCAGCCAUUGCAGACAGCCUGUAUUGAACUGAAUGGAAUGAGUGUAUAAAAAAGAACUUCAGACCCGUGAAAUGUGCUUGUGUAUUUAGCAGGAACGCUUUUUAAAAGAGAGUCUGUCCGUGUCGUAUUUUGCUGCAGCGUUUAUCCCAAGCACAGUCAAAGCCAGCUGCUUACUUAUGAGGACAUUCUCUAUUAGUUGGCUGAUUAUUACUAUUCAGGACUUCUUUGAACUCUGAAGAGGCGAGUAAGGAUUUCCCAAUCAGCGAGGUACCAGUAUGCGUGCAUGUGCGUCAGUGUUAAUCCAAAAAGAGAACCUGAUGUGGUAACAGAUCAAAGUGUACCGCCAAAGGAAUACUUACUUCUGAAUUAAAUCUAUUACUAAGG